rnacentral:rRNA from 1 species
CCUACGGGUGGCAGCAGUGAGGAAUAUUGGUCAAUGGGCGGAAGCCUGAACCAGCCAAGUCGCGUGAGGGAAUAAGGCCCUACGGGUCGUAAACCUCUUUUGCCGGGGAGCAAGGGCGGGGACGUGUCCCGUCCCGGAGAGUACCCGGAGAAAAAGCAUCGGCUAACUCCGUGCCAGCAGCCGCGGUAAUACGGAGGAUGCGAGCGUUAUCCGGAUUUAUUGGGUUUAAAGGGUGCGUAGGCGGGCUUUUAAGUCAGCGGUAAAAAUUCGGGGCUCAACCCCGUCCGGCCGUUGAUACUGGGGGCCUUGAGUGGGCGAGAGGAAGGCGGAAUGCGUGGUGUAGCGGUGAAAUGCAUAGAUAUCACGCAGAACCCCGAUUGCGAAGGCAGCCUUCCGGCGCCCUACUGACGCUGAGGCACGAAAGUGCGGGGAUCGAACAGGAUUAGAUACCCUUGUAGUC